GCCUCUGUAGCUUAGUUGGUAGAGCGGCUGACUGUUAAUCAGCAGGUCGUAGGUUCGACUCCUACCGGGGGCG
rnacentral:tRNA from 1 species